ACGGGAGGCAGCAGUGGGGAAUAUUGCACAAUGGGCGCAAGCCUGAUGCAGCCAUGCCGCGUGUGUGAAGAAGGCCUUCGGGUUGUAAAGCACUUUCAGCGAGGAGGAAGGUGGUGAGCUUAAUACGUUCAUCAAUUGACGUUACUCGCAGAAGAAGCACCGGCUAACUCCGUGCCAGCAGCCGCGGUAAUACGGAGGGUGCAAGCGUUAAUCGGAAUUACUGGGCGUAAAGCGCACGCAGGCGG
rnacentral:rRNA from 2 species